CCUUCACCCAUUUUUACGUACUAUUUUGAAAAAAUAACAACACAGUGAAGUGACCGUUGGUAAAAAUGUUUAUUUGUUUAGGAAAUAUACUCAUUUAAUGCACAAUCGGGAGCUGUCAAGCUGAUUGCACCACAUUGUGGAAAUGGAAAACUACACUAAGGAGGAAAAGGAUUCGGCUAAGGAAGUUCUCGAGUUUUAUGUCGACAUAUUCGAGAAUAACAAUUCAACAGUGAAAUAUUUUCUCUCAGAAAAUGUUGUCCUCGAUUGGUUUGGCAAAACAAUCAAGGACAACAAAAAAGUGUCACUAUUUCUCAAAGAGCAAGCCUGUAAAGUAACUCAUCACAUAACUAACACAAUUCCUAGUGAGAAAGUAGCGUUUAAAGAGAGUCAUAAUGUAAAAGUGCCAAAGGAAGAAAACCUGCUAUUAAUCUCUUCCCCUGUAAAUACGGAAACGACGCCACCAAAGCAAACCCAGCCAUCUACCAGUAUGUUAGAAAUAGGUCAAGGCGAUGGCCUUGACAACAGCCCCCUGAUGUCGCCGCGUAAAAAAAUGAAAUUUGAUUCAGUUGAAGAAACUGAAACCGUCGAGGGCGAGUCGGAAAUUUCACAAUUGAAAUAUUUAACUGCCGAAGGCACUGUUGAAUUUCACAAGCCCAGUUCGAAAAAACUACAAACUGAGACCAAGUGGCGAAGGCCUGUGAAACUGCACCUAGGGUAUACGAAAAGUAGCUUUAAAGACUGUACUAUCUAUCUCAUAAUUUACGAAAGUAAUCUCAAGUGUCGCCGAAAUUUGUAUCAUGAAUUUUGCGAAAGUAAUUCAAGCACAAAACCUUUGUAGUGCAAUUAUUUAUUUUGUUGUUGUGCGACUUUAAGUUUAUCAUAGCUUUUUAUUGUACUAGCUUUGUGAUUUGUGUGCCUGACAUGACAACUUUAUUUUUUUAAGAAAAACUUUGUAUUUUUGUUACGAAAAAUAAAUACCUUGAAGGAAAA